rnacentral:rRNA from 1 species
UCCUGGCUCAGGAUGAACGCUAGCGGCAGGCUUAACACAUGCAAGUCGAGGGGUAUCACGCUUUCGGGCGUGAGAGACCGGCGCACGGGUGCGUAACGCGUAUACAAUCUACCUUUUACAGAGGGAUAGCCCAGAGAAAAUUUGGAUUAAUACCUCAUAGUAUUUUCGAAUCGCAUGAUUUGAUUAUUAAAGUUCCAACGGUAAAAGAUGAGUAUGCGUCCCAUUAGCUAGAUGGUAAGGUAACGGCUUACCAUGGCAACGAUGGGUAGGGGUCCUGAGAGGGAGAUCCCCCACACUGGUACUGAGACACGGACCGGACUCCUACGGGAGGCAGCAGUGAGGAAUAUUGGACAAUGGGCGCAAGCCUGAUCCAGCCAUGCCGCGUGCAGGAAGACGGUCCUAUGGAUUGUAAACUGCUUUUAUACAGGAAGAAACACCUCUACGUGUAGAGACUUGACGGUACUGUAUGAAUAAGCAUCGGCUAACUCCGUG